AGCCGAAACAGCUCUUCGGAGCUGUCGUGCGGGGGCUGACCGCCCCGCGCCUGACGACGGCAGGUCGUU
rfam:Subdoligranulum sp. 4_3_54A2FAA genomic scaffold supercont1.1, whole genome shotgun sequence.